rnacentral:rRNA from 1 species
UACGUAGGGUGCAAGCGUUGUCCGGAAUUAUUGGGCCGUAAAGAGCUCGUAGGCGGUUUGUUGCGUCGGCUGUGAAAUCCCGAGGCUCAACCUCGGGUCUGCAGUCGAUACGAGCAAACUAGAGUGUUGCAGGGGAGACUGGAAUUCCUGGUGUAGCGGUGAAAUGCGCAGAUAUCAGGAGGAACACCGGUGGCGAAGGCGGGUCUCUGGGCUAACACUGACGCUGAUGCACGAAAGCGUGGGGAGCAAACCGG